UGCCAGCAGCCGCGGUAAGACGAAGGUGGCUAGCGUUAUUCGGAUUUACUGGGCAUAAAGCGCGCGUAGGCGGCUUGGUCAGUCGGAGGUGAAAGCCCGCAGCUCAACUGCGGAAUUGCCCCCGAUACUGCCAAGCUUGAGUGCAGGAGGGGUGACUGGAACUCAGGGUGUAGCGGUGAAAUGCGUAGAUAUCCUGAGGAACACCGGAGGCGAAGGCGAGUCACUGGACUGCAACUGACGCAGAGGCGCGGAAGCUAGGGGAGCAAACCGGAUUAGAUU
rnacentral:rRNA from 1 species